CAGUCGCCACGGGAAUCCGGAGGGUGCAAGCGUUAAUCGGAAUUACUGGGCGUAAAGCGUGCGUAGGUGGUGGUUUAAGUCCGUUGUGAAAGCCCUGGGCUCAACCUGGGAAUUGCAGUGGAUACUGGGUCACUAGAGUGUGGUAGAGGAUAGUGGAAUUUCCGGUGUAGCAGUGAAAUGCGUAGAGAUCUGGAGGAAUACCGGUGGCGAAGGCGGCCCCCUGGACAAAGACUGACGCUCAGGUGCGAAAGCGUGGGGAGCAAACAGGAUUAGAUACCCCCGUAGUCCCUGUCUCUUAUAC
rnacentral:rRNA from 1 species